rnacentral:rRNA from 1 species
UACGUAGGGACCGAGCGUUGUCCGGAAUUACUGGGCGUAAAGCGCGUGUAGGCGGCCCUGCAAGUCGGAUGUGAAAUCCCACGGCUCAACCGUGGAAGUGCAUUCGAAACUGCAGGGCUAGAGUCCUGGAGAGGAAGGUGGAAUGCUUGGUGUAGAGGUGAAAUUCGUAGAUAUCAAGCGGAACACCGGUGGCGAAGGCGGCCUUCUGGACAGUGACUGACGCUGAGACGCGAAAGCGUGGGGAGCAAACAGG